AUGCAGCUGGAGCUUCUCAUGGUGCCGCAUCUCCUUCUCGGCCUGCUCCUUCUGCCGCUCUCGCCCUCGGCGUCGGCGGCGGUCACCCACCUGCCAGGAUUCCAUGGCCCUCUGCCCUUGUACCUCGAGACCGGGUACGUGGACGUGGAGGAGAAGACCGGGACGAAGCUCUUCUACUACUUCGUGGAGUCGGAGAGGAGCCCCGGCACGGUCCCCGUGCUGCUGUGGCUCACCGGCGGGCCCCGCUGCUCGGGCUUCAGCGGCUUCGCCUUCGAAGUUGGCCCUGUAAAUUUUGUGCUGGCACCUUAUGAUGGUCAUUUGCCGCAGUUGGUCUAUAAUCCGCAUUCAUGGUCGAAGAUGGCAAGUAUCAUCUUCUUGGAUUCUCCUGUCGGUUCUGGUUUCUCAUAUGCUCGUGAUCCAAAAGGCUAUGAUGUUGGGGACAUGUCAUCUUCCUUGCAAGUCGUGACAUUUCUGAACAAGUGGUUCGACGAGCACCCACGCUAUCGUUCAAAUGCAUUUUACAUUGGAGGAAGUUCAUAUGCUGGGAAGAUCAUUCCGCUUAUCGCGCAAUAUAUCUCAGAAGGAAUUGAGCAAAGGAAGCAACCUGUGAUUAAUCUCAAGGGCUAUUUAGUUGGCAACCCUAUUACAGGCUCCAGGUAUACUGAUUCCAAUUCCAGAAUACCAUAUGCUCAUGGCUUUGGAAUCAUACCGGGACAACUAUAUGAGGCUGCAAUUGAGAACUGUAAAGGAGACUAUAUAAACCCGCUGAAUAACAUAUGUGCUGGGAUUCUAAAUACUAUUGAAAAGCUCCUUUCGGAAGUCGACCACGAUCAUAUCUUGGAUGACAAAUGUGUACGCACUGCACCAAACCCUGUGAAUGCUGCUGCUGAAAGAAAUAGGUUUCUGUCAGAAGAACACAUUCAACAAAAUGUUCCAUCUCCUCAUCCUACUAUUAAUUGUUUUUCGUACCGUUACUACCUAGCUAACAUUUGGGCGAAUGAAAACGUGACUAGAGAUGCUCUUCGGAUAAAGCAGGGAACAAUUGGCGAGUGGGUAAGAUGCAUCACAGGAUUGCCCUAUACGGGAGACCUCCCAAGCAGCAUACCGUACCACCUUAAUCUCAGCACCAGGGGUUACCGUGUGCUUGUGUUCAGCGGAGACCAUGACCCUGGGGUACCAUUUUUGGGAACAUAUGAGUGGAUCAGAUCCUUAAACUUCUCCAUUGUUGAUGACUGGAGAGCAUGGCAUGUGGAUGGUCAGAGUGGAGGAUUCACGGUUGCAUAUGCCAACAAUAUUACAUUCGCCACGGUAAAGGGUGGUGGCCAUACAGCAAUACGACACCAGCCUAAACAAUGUUUUGCCAUGGCUCAGCGUUGGCUGGACAACGAGCCUCUCUGA
rnacentral:rRNA from 1 species